UGAUGUAGCUCAAUGGCAGAGCAACGCAUUCGUAAUGCGUAGGUUGAGAGUUCGACUCUCUCCAUCA
rnacentral:tRNA from 1 species